UACAGAGGUCUCAAGCGUUGUUCGGAUUCAUUGGGCGUAAAGGGUGCGUAGGCGGCGCGGUAAGUCGGGUGUGAAAUCUCGGAGCUUAACUCCGAAACUGCAUUCGAUACUGCCGUGCUUGAGGACUGGAGAGGAGACUGGAAUUUACGGUGUAGCGGUGAAAUGCGUAGAUAUCGUCAAGAACACCUAUAGCGAAGGCAGCUUACUAGGCUGUAACUGACGCUGAGGCACGAAAGUGUGGGGAUCAAACAGG
rnacentral:rRNA from 1 species